rnacentral:rRNA from 1 species
GACGAACGCUGGCGGCGUGCCUAAUACAUGCAAGUAGAACGCACAGUUUAUACCGUAGCUUGCUACACCAUAGACUGUGAGUUGCGAACGGGUGAGUAACGCGUAGGUAACCUGCCUGGUAGCGGGGGAUAACUAUUGGAAACGAUAGCUAAUACCGCAUAAUAUUGAUUAUUGCAUGAUAAUUGAUUGAAAGAUGCUAUUGCAUCACUACAAGAUGGACCUGCGUUGUAUUAGCUAGUAGGUGAGGUAACGGCUCACCUAGGCGACGAUACAUAGCCGACCUGAGAGGGUGAUCGGCCACACUGGGACUGAGACACGGCCCAGACUCCUACGGGAGGCAGCAGUAGGGAAUCUUCGGCAAUGGACGAAAGUCUGACCGAGCAACGCCGCGUGAGUGAAGAAGGUUUUCGGAUCGUAAAGCUCUGUUGUAAGAGAAGAACGGGUGUGAGAGUGGAAAGUUCACACUGUGACGGUAUCUUACCAGAAAGGGACGGCUAACUACGUG